rnacentral:rRNA from 1 species
GAUGAACGCUGGCGGCAUGCCUAACACAUGCAAGUCGAACGAUGAUGCUGGAGCUUGCUCCAGUUGAUUAGUGGCGAACGGGUGAGUAACACGUGAGCAAUCUGCCCUUGACUCUGGGAUAACUGCGGGAAACUGUAGCUAAUACCGGAUACUUUCACCGGAAGGCAUCUUCUGGUGAUGAAAGAAUUUCGGUCAGGGAUGAGCUCGCGGCCUAUCAGCUUGUUGGUGAGGUAACGGCUCACCAAGGCGACGACGGGUAGCCGGCCUGAGAGGGUGCUCGGCCACACUGGGACUGAGACACGGCCCAGACUCCUACGGGAGGCAGCAGUGGGGAAUAUUGCACAAUGGGCGCAAGCCUGAUGCGGCAACGCCGCGUGAGGGACGACGGCCUUCGGGUUGUAAACCUCUUUUAGUAGGGAAGAAGCGAAAGUGACGGUACCUGCAGAAAAAGCACCGGCUAACUACGUGCCAGCAGCCGCCGUAA